GUUCGAUCGCUUUGCACGCGACCACGUGAGUGAAAAUCUGCAGCUCGAAUUCAGCAACCAAAUUUUCUUCUAGCUGAGAAAACAGCAAGAUAUCCAUCAAAUCUUGUGCUGCGCAGGACGACGGGACGACUUGGCUGUGUUUGCCUAUUUACGGCACGUGUUGCUUAACCUCCAAAAACGUUGGCCGCACCGAAAUCCAACCUACCGAUCGGUUGGCAGAUAAGAUCGACCACCACACAUCUGAGAACAUCGGAUCCGACGAUUCCAUCCGAAACAGCGCUGGAAGCACCGCUUGGGGUGAAGGCGCACAAGAGCGACGCCAUAUUGUCGGGCAGUACAUUUGCGCGAGACCAGAGGCCUUCCGUAGGAAGGCCUUUGUUUACACCUUUAUUUCCAGUUUCGCUUCGCGAGACGGAAGCAGCAGCGCGCAGCUCCAGCGGGUAUUCCCGAUUACGGAUUCGACAUCGAGGUCGAGUGGACGAGACGAAGAUUCCCACUACGGUUGUGGAUUCGGCCGGUUUCGCUCGACAGGAACACGAUCCGAGGAUAAACAGCGGAGGCCAGCGGCGAAUAGGGUAGCUCCGACAGAUUCCAUCCACGGAGUUGCCCGGGUCCGCUAAACGAACUGCGAUCAGGGUGAGUGGACGUCACAUACGUACUCACUCCGGUCCGACAUCGACUGGGCGCUCUCGACGGUACGACGUGGCACGGUGAGAAGCACCGGUGGGCCAAAUUCCCGACGGUUCGAGGACGAGUACGAACAGCGAUGAUGGGUCAGCGGAUGACCAGUGCGUUGGCGGCGGAGCGGCAUGGGGGACGCCCCAAGAAGAUAAGUGCUAGCAUUUAAGAUCAUAUUUGGCGAUUGCCAACUCCAAAUGCUUAGCUAGUAAGCCAAUAAGCUAGAUAGGAAGAUGGGUAGACCCAAAUAUAUGUAUUGAUCUGCGAUUUGAUGUUUUUGUGGUUUGCGUUGAGCCUUUGCCCUUCAGUGUUUGCGGUUUUCGUUCUUUAAGCCUCGCUAACGGUAUUUUGCUCUAUCCGCUACCGGGGAACUUGCA